ACCGCAUUCGCCCCCUGGUGGCGCCGGGACACGCAGGGCGCGGCCGUCUUCGCAGCGGAAUGAGCUGUCCACAGCAGCACUGGGCGCCGCCCGAGGUCACGCCAGAAUCUGGCGCCGGGCUGGGAACCAGGGAGGCAAGCGGCCUUGGGGAGGAAUAGGGGCAGAUAAUGGGGUAGAACCAUCAUGAGACUUGAGGUUGUCUCUGGGUCCGUAUGCUCCAAAUCCCGUUUGAGUCUCUCCACGGUGUGAUGGAAGGAGAACACCUAGGGGUCUCAUCUUCCAUCGGGCUCCCACUUUGACCCAAUCUCCUGGGAAAUCAAAGCCCCUCCCCUCCUGCGGUGACCUGACAAUGACAGUCUUGGCUCCAGCCAAGUUGGGCCUGCCACACCCAGGAGAGCUCCGAGGAAGUGGGUGUGAGGUUUCCUCAGGAGAGACACAGCGUUCAGAAAGGUCCUUGAAUGCCCCUAGGGAGAAUGGCACUGUCCUAGCUUUAUGGGAGUUAAAGCUUUCAACCUAUGGGUGCUUUCAGUCUCCUAAGGCCAAUACAACUGAGAGACAACAGACACAGCAAAAGGCCUAGCAGCAGCCGCAGGUCUACUUACUUGAUCGUGGCUUCCUGAAGAGCCUGUCCAUGCCUGGGGGAGGGGGCUGCCUCAUGGUAACCCCUACAACCUGACCCCGAUAGGUCAAACCCAGCAGUCCAUCUGAAAAUGCCAGACACAUCUGGCUGCGCUGUCACUUCCAUGGGGAAGGGAGUGGAGGCUCCAGAAGAGUCAAGAGCUGCCAUUUCUGAACUAACACCCAUAAAGGCAGCUUGGAGCAUGGAACUCCCAUGCCACCUAACACUGAAAGUUAGGCCAAGCCACAGCUAAAGUGAGUCUGUUUACUCGUGAGGCCUGACCUCCUCCAGCAUCAGUCACUCCGUGCUCCUUCUCCUGGGAAGGACUAGUGGCUCAGAGACCCGUCAGACACUCCUCCUUGGCUCUUGUUCCCUGCUCAUGCCAGGAUCAAGGGGGUGAAGUCUGCUCCCUACGCUGAUACAGAUAACAUACAGCAGCCUUGGCGUCAUGCACUGUGGGUAACUCCGUAAAUAUUAAUUGACUCUGAGGACAAGCUGCACUUUGGCUUUACCUCUGACUAAUUAAAUAAACCUACCAUGUAAAUCAGCAGAAGGGACAGAGGUAUUUGUCUAUGCUGAAAAGAAAC
rnacentral:lncRNA from 1 species